UUCCGGGUUGCCGGCCUGCGGCCUCUUGGGGCCUCCGAGCCGCAAGAAUUCCUCGAAGUUUUUCCUAGAACCUCACACUCUUUAAGUGCUCUCUGGGCGACCAGGAGGAGGCCUACUUGCCACAACUGCUGCUGGGCAGCUGUCUUCUGGAAUGUCGCGGGGCUGGGACCUUCCGCACCCCAGAGGCCCCAGCACCAUCGGAAAUACUGGGAGAGCUUGUAUGAGUGUUCCUAGCCCGAACUCAGGGCUAGUGUCUUUCAGGGCAGCGUUUUCAAAUGUGUUCUUUGUUGGUUUGGUUUGGGUUUUAAAUAUUUUUGAAGAUAUUUGGAUCGGUUUGGGCGAACGGCUUCAGUUAUAAAAUGAACGAGAGGGCUGGAGAGGGUAGAUAAUUUGGAAAAUGAGGAGAAGCCUUAUUCUUCGCUGUUAUCUGAUACAACCUUGUGUCUGGGCACACUUUUCUGUGAGACUCUAAUUAUUCUAACCAGCCGAGUUCGUUGAUUCGGUGUGCAAAAAAUCAUGAAUUGAAUGAUGUCAUAAAAUUCAAUACUGCUUUUUACAGUCCUGGUUAAGAAUUCUGUUCUUCAGUAGCCUUCAGUCCCAACAUUUCUUUUGUUCACAAAAAAAAUUUUUUUUCCUCCUGCAACCGCUUUUUUACAUACAAAUCUCCAAAAUCCUCUAUCUUUUCUCUCUUUUAUCAUCGGUAAUUAUGAUAGUUUUUAGUGCCCUUUAACCUGUUGGCAACAAGCAAAAGAAACUUAUUCUAGCUUACUACUGUUUCAUUCUCAGAUUCCAUUUAAUCAUAGGGAGAAAUUAAAGUCAAGGCCCAGAUCACAGGGGACCCAGGCACAUCCCUAUAGCUGAACAGCUUCAGUUGCAAACAGUUGCGUCCAGCCAUUUCAACGACAACUUUUCCAUCUUGCAGGGUCAACCAAGUUCAUGAUGCCAGGUGUAGGAACGAACAAGUAUCCCACUUCUCCAAAUGUUUUCUUAAUCGUCUGUUAACCAGUAAAGAAUAUAGAAAUUGCUGUUAUCUAAACCAAGAAAUCUAAUCAUGGACCUCUCUUGUUGAAAGAAUGACUACUACCUCCAUAAUGGCGACCAUCUAAAAGAUGCUUCUUUAUGAUGUGGCUCUCAUCGAUCCCUGCAGCCUCCUCUCCUCAUCCCAGCUGUUUCCAGCUGCAGGCUUCUGAAGUUUAUGUUCUAACCAUAGUGGACAAAUUUCACUUUCCCUAAUGAGGCACACAGGUCGUCGUUGCAGUUCUGUCCUGUUCACAGUUUUCGUGCUCUGUACACAUCUUUGUACUGAGCAUCCUUGAUGGCUGUUACCGUGUGUAUUUCUUCAUACAUGAGUUUCCAGCCCACAGUAACAGUACCUGAACUUUGGUGGCCUUUUCAAUCCUAGAAGUCAAACUCAUUGUCAAAGGUUUUGCAUUGUAGCAAGCUAAGGCAUGGAGCUGGAAUUUGACCUAAGCUUUGUGUCUACUCCUUUCCCCACAGUAACUCUUUGAUGGUUUGCAUAUGCUUGGCCUGGGAAGUGGCACUAUUAGAAGGUGUGGCCUCGUUGAGGAAGUGUGUCACUGUGGGGGUGGGCUUGCAGACCCU
ensembl:lncRNA LOC120098329 uncharacterized LOC120098329